rnacentral:rRNA from 1 species
GACAGAGGUGCCGAGCGUUAGGCGGAAUCACUGGGCUUAAAGCGUGUGUAGGCGGAUGGGUAAGUACCUUGUGAAAUCCCACGGCUCAACCGUGGAACUGCUUGGUAUACUGCUUUUCUUGAGCCACUUAGGGGCUACCGGAACAAAUGGUGGAGCGGUGAAAUGCGUAGAUAUCAUUUGGAACGCCAAUGGUGAAAACAGGUAGCUGGGAGUGUGCUGACGCUGAGACACGAAAGCCAGGGGAGCGAACAGG